rnacentral:sRNA from 1 species
UGAUAAAAGCAACUAGCUCAGGAUAUGAUUAUAUUUCUUAAUGGUUGUUUUUUAUUCUUGUCUCUUCUUCCAUCCUCUAUUCACAAUACUUGUAAUUACUUUUCCAAAUUCUAGAGAAGAGAGUUCUGAAAAAAGUUAAUGUUGCCAAGAAGUUAAUUGACUUGAUUAAUUUGAAAUGGACCUGGAUCUGUUGGUUUGAAGAUUGCCUAGGUGGUAAUAGAAAAGUGAUCUAGGAGAAGAGGGUUCAAUUAAUACCUUAGUCACAUUCAAGAAGUUUUUGAUAUUAAAAUAUAUAUAUAUUGAAAAAAUCAUAAAGUCUUUAAAAAAUUAGUAACUCGUUAUUUGUUGUGUCUUUUCAGGGAGAGCCUGGGGUCAGAGGCCCUCCAGGUCCUUCUGGGCCUCGGGGCGUAGGAACCCAAGGGCCAAAGGGUGAUACUGGGCAGAAAGGCUUGCCUGGCCCUCCUGGCCCCCCUGGCUAUGGAUCACAGGGAAUUAAAGUAAGUGAAUAGGUUUGUGCUGGAGUCACCUCUGAUUUCACCAGAGUGAUUGGGAGAAGAGGUUGUAGAUAACACAAAAAUGGCUAUUAUGAAAUAGAUUUAUUGUGAGCCUAGCAGUUAAAUGGCAUCCAGUGUUUAGAGACAUCAUCUGGAAGUGUAAGAAUGGUAUGAGUACAAUACUUUAGCAAAUACUAAACAUUAUAUAAAUUGCUUGGUGCAAAAGUGAA